UACGGAGGGUGCGAGCGUUGUCCGGAAUCACUGGGCGUAAAGGGCGCGUCGGUGGCUUCUCAAGCGCGCGGUGAAAGCCCGGGGCUCAACCCCGGGUCGGCCGUGCGGACUGGGAGGCUCGAGCACUGUAGGGGCGGGUGGAAUUCCGGGUGUAGCGGUGGAAUGCGUAGAUAUCGAGAGGAACACCUGCGGCGAAGGCGGGUUGCUGGGCCGACACUGACGCUGAUGCGCGAAAGCCAGGGGAGCAAACGGG
rnacentral:rRNA from 1 species